AAACUUAAAUGAAUUGACGGGGACCCGUACAAGCAGCGGAGCGUGUGGUUUAAUUCGUUGCUACACGAAGAACUUACCUGGGUUUGACAUAUAGGUUGUAGGGAACUGAAAAGGGACCGACCCUUCGGGGAGCCUAUACAGGUGUUGCAUGGCUGUCGUCAGCUCGUGUCGUGAGAUGUUCGGUUAAGUCCGCUAACGAGCGCAACCCUCGUCGUAUGUUAUAUGUGUCAUACGAGACUGCCGGUAAAAGCCGGAGGAAGGUGAGGAUGAUGUCAAGUCAGCAUGACCUCUAUAUCCAGGGCUACACACACGCUACAAUGGUCUGUACAAUGGGUAGCCAAGCCGCGAGGCGGAGCCAAUCCUGAAAGCAGGCCUCAGUUCAGAUUGCAGUCUGCAACUCGACUGCAUGAAGCCGGAGUUGCUAGUAACCGCAGGUCAGCAAUACUGCGGUGAAUACGUUCCCGGGUCUU
rnacentral:rRNA from 1 species